rnacentral:rRNA from 1 species
CACGUAGGGUGCGAGCGUUGUCCGGAAUUAUUGGGCGUAAAGAGCUCGUAGGCGGUGUGUCGCGUCGGCCGUGAAAACCUGCAGCUUAACUGUGGGCUUGCGGUCGAUACGGGCAUCACUGGAGUUCGGCAGGGGAGACUGGAAUUCCUGGUGUAGCGGUGAAAUGCGCAGAUAUCAGGAGGAACACCGGUGGCGAAGGCGGUUCUCUGGGCCUUACCUGACGCUGGAGGAGCGAAAGCCGUGGGGAGCGAACAGG